rnacentral:Y_RNA from 1 species
GGUUGGUCCCAGUGCAAUGGUGUUUACAACUAAUUGAUCACAACCAGUUACAGAUUCCUUUGUUCCUUCUCCACUCCCACUGCUCCACUUGACCAGCCUUAA